GGCAGACCCACGGCAACAGCACAAAACACAGAGCAGCAGACACAGGCACGCCAGGUUCAAAGGCGGAGAAUAUCUGGUGACACCGCUGAGAAGUUCCCGUUCCACCUGAGCAGAAGUCCCGUCUGGCUCCCGCUGCUCCCUACGUCACACCCGGCCCAAGGACAAGGUCAUGUAACUAGAAAGGGGCACAGUUGGAAAAGAACUGUCAUAAACAUGCAGAGACCCCAAGGAGCACGCCUGGCCUGCGGGGCUAGGAAAACCACAGGAAGCAGAGCCUUUAAACAGGGCAGUGACGUGGAGGAGAACCCAACUACAGCUGAGGCCUUGGAUACGGAGCCCAAGCUGCACAGACAGAGCAGCGCUGGCCCAGAGCCAGGAAAGAAAAGAUGUCAAAAGAACGGGGCACUAAGACAGAUACUCAGCUUGUCCACUGGUCACUAAAUGGACUGAAUCCUGCCAUCUGCCCUGCACCGUGAGCGAGACAGUGGUGGAGAAACAAAAAAUCAGCCCUGACCUCUUGGGAGUUACUGUCCAGUAAGGGAGGCAGACUUGGUAAAGGACUUGGGGCGGAGGGGCUGGAGAGAAUCAGUAAAGAAAACAAGAAGCCCUCUCACUGUGUAUUACUAGCUGUAAUGUGACAACA